UAUCAGAUUUUUUGGCAUUCUUUCCCGGUAGUACGCAUUAAGGCGUUCUCAAUUUUCUUAAAUGGACUGAACGUUAAAUUUAUGAAUUACUAUGAAUAAUUCUUUGGGAUUGUGGAUAUCUUUGUUUGUUUUGAUACAAUUAUCAUGCAUAUAUGGUCAACGGCGAAGAGCAGAUGGACUUGGAUUUAUACCCAGGACUCCACAAAACGCAAAACGGAAUGAACAGCGUUUAUCUGCCAUUAAACGAAUCAAAUACAUGAAUGAAAUGGCAUUUAAGAACAAUAAUAAUAAUAUGAAUAAUGGCAAGACUGGAAUGAAUAUGUUUCAAAACAGUAUGCAAGCCAAUAACAACAUGAAUAAUCGUCGGAUGGGAAUGAAUAAUAACAACAUGAAUAACCAUCGGAUGGGAAUGAAUAAUAAUAACAACAUGAAUAAUGGUCCGACUGGGAUGAAUUAUGAUAACAACAUGAAUAAUGGUCCGACUGGAAUGAACACAAAUGGUGGACAAAUGAAUGUAGCCCACAUGAAUCCAGAAUAUGUUGAAUCUAUGAUGGACUUGCCGGGUGGUAUGCAGAUGCUGAUGAAUGCGAGAAUGGGAAAUGGAGGAAUGACAUCUAGCGGGGUAACUAUUAUAAACACAGAGAUGAGUGAAAUGGGAAUGAUGCAGAAUGGCAUGAUGGGUAACAAUGGCAGACGAAUGGGCAGAAGAGGACAACAGAAAAUGAGGUUGCCAAUGUGUCAACCUUUAUCGGAGUGUGCUGAAAGAUUUAUACCACCACAAUGCCGGGCGUGGAGAUACGAUACUAUGAACAGCGUGAUGUGCCGCGCAUGCCCAACAAACAGAUGUGAAGGCGGAGCAAAGGAGUACUUCAAUACGAUGUACAAAUACCAUCCGUCAAGACUUAUGUUAAAAAUGUUACAGUAAAUCGCAUAUAUAUAUAGAUUCUACCACUGCAUCGAGUGUGAUACGAUAUUUAUCCACUCGAGACAGUUAAAUUUUCAAAUUUAAAACGCGAGGCUCGCCGAGCGUUUUAAAUAUUUAAAAUUUAACUGUCGAGAGUGGAUAAAUAUCGUAUUACACGAUAUUUGGUGGUGGAAUCUGUUUCUCUAAUGAUUUUUAAACAAUACGCAGGCAAAUUUAUUCCUUCUUUUCGAAUGAUCUGCAAAAAGAUGUGUUCUUUCUAUGUGACGUCAUCAGGCAUGGUCGCCUUUUUUCAUGCCGUCACAAUAGGAAAUUUAGAGGAAAGCAAGAAAACUCGACGUCAUAAUCGGAUUUUAACCAAUGAAGAACUGAGAUUAAAAGAACCACACGUUGAUUAAAUUUUUUUUAUACAAUGGGUGCAGAAAAGGAUAAAUUGACGAAGAAUUAGAGAAACAUAUAUAUAUGUAUAUAUGUAUCAGCUGUUAUUUUUUUAACUGAAAAAUAACUUAUAAAUCUUUUAUUCAUUUCAGUACUCUGGUCAUAACUUUUGUUGGAUUUUUUUUACUUUUCGUCCAAAUUAGUUUACUCGAACAUUGCAUGGUAAAUGCAAGAUAUAAACAUAACUGAUCAAGUACGUUAACGAAUGUUACUUUGUUUCUACAGAUCAGAGCUGAGAUUCAUAACGAUUGAUAAAUAUCACGUUUAUAAUUCAUCGAGUACUUGAAACGUUGUUUCUUCUUUCUACAGGUGUAUACGGAAAAUAUAACGUAUAAUAUAAAGAUGUCUGGUUACGUAGUACUAGUUCGUAACGAGAUGUUUCAUACUAGAUUUUUUUAAUUACAUUUUUACAUGCAUUUGCGUCUACAUUUUAUAAAAAAUAAAAAACCUUCGGACAAAGUUAA